rnacentral:rRNA from 1 species
UACAGAGGUCUCAAGCGUUGUUCGGAUUCAUUGGGUGUAAAGGGUGCGUAGGCGGCGCGGUAAGUCGGAUGUGAAAUCUCGGAGCUUAACUUCGAAACUGCAUUCGAUACUGCCGUGCUUGAGGACUGGAGAGGAGACUGGAAUUUACGGUGUAGCGGUGAAAUGCGUAGAUAUCGUAAGGAAGACCAGUGGCGAAGGCGGGUCUCUGGACAGUUCCUGACGCUGAGGCACGAAGGUCAGGGGAGCAAACGGG